UGGUCCACUGUUCUUCCAGAGUAAUUGUUCAAAAGCAAACCCGAUCAUGCUACGCACCUCCUUAAAAUCAUUCAAUAGUUCCCCCAUUGUGGUCUGCAUGGCUUUCAAGGCCCUUCAUAAUCUAGCCCCUACUCACUUCUCCGGUCCCACUCCUUUCACCUUUAGGUUUUCUUUUGUAGUCACAUCCAGGACAGUAUUGCCCCUCCUGCAUUUGGACCUUUGCAGGUACUCAUCAUCUUUGUCCUUGGAACACUGUUCCUUUCUCUCCCCACUCUGUCACCUGGUUAAUUUUUCUUCCUCCUUUGCAUCUCUCCUUUGAUAUUAUGUCCUCUUCAGGCUGACCCUGACUCCCAGAAUUGUCCCAUUAUACAGGCUUCAACAGCAGCCUCCAACUGCUUCUACUGAAGUAUGUGUUGUACCACCUCCAAUUACUUGCUUGAUUGUAUCCUUGGCUAAACUGUAACUUAAUGAAGAACAGCAACUUGGUAUUAUUCACCGCACUGCCCCGAGAACAGCACUAAUACUUUCCUGUUGCGUGAAUUAGUGAUAUCAGGAGAGAGAUACAGCAUCAUCCGUGGGUGACACUGCAAAACAGCGCUCUGGGCUUUGUUCAUCAGUCAUCUCGUCAUGAUUUACGGACUGAUUUAUCUUUAUAAUAUCCUGACUGUGAUUCUUCCCUGCAUUCUCUCUGCUUUGUAGCCAUUUUACCAUUUUCACCUAUCUGGAAAGUCAGGAAAUGGAAAGCAAGUUGGUGACAUUUCUGGGGCCUGUCCAAAAAACAAACACAUCAUGGACAGCGUCUGUUAACACAUCCCACGCCAUUCCAUACUGCCUACCCAGUAGUAUAAUUCAAUUAAUUGAAAGAGACGUUUUGAUUUUGUCUGAGCAUGCUGAAAAAUGGUAUGAUAGUGGAGACACAGAGAAUCUAUGGUGAGGGCAUAUCUUACUAUUUGUCCUUGAGGCAACACCAUUUAUGGCUGUUUGCCUUUGGCACUCAUUUUCCCUGGUACGUGGAGAUGCUGCGGUGCAGUAAGUAAAUUAGCAAUUGUUUCAAUCUCUCAUUUUGGGGACAGUCUUCAUAAUGUGGUUACAUACAGACUCAUGCCAAGAGAGUGAGGUCAUGUGUUUGAACAUAUUCAUUUUUUUGUUCAAACCUCUUCCGUCCUUAGCCAGGGAAUCCAAGUCAUUUUAUGUUUGGCCUACAAUACCCUGUUUGGUUGUUGAUUUUUUUUUUUUAAUACUAUGUAGCAUCUUACCAAUUAGGCUGUAAAGUUUUCAAGGGCAAUGAGCAAGUGUUAUACUUUUCACAUAAUGAUCACUUGAUAAAUUUUGAAGAUGAAGGUUAUUUAUUAUAUAUCAUAUUAUUCUACGGAAUAAUAAUAAAAAUAAUGCCCUUUAUUAAGUACUUGCCAUAUUCUAUGUACAUGGAUUUAUGACUUCAGUCUCAAGAGAUGUCUGUGAGUUAAGUAUUUUCCAUAUUUCACAGAAAAGGAAGCUGAGGCUUAGAGAGUUAAGUUACCUCUUAAGGUCACAGUUGUAGCCAGGAUUGAAACCCGAUCUGACUGAUUUCAAAACCUGUGCUCAUUGUACUAUCCAGGGGUUUAAAAAAAUACUUCUUUUCCCCAUGGACCCUUUUUAAAACAAAGUAUUAUCCAAGCACAGUUUAUAAAGACAAAAUUAGAACUUCUCUGUUGAAGCAAAGUAUCAAACUUAUACUUGAUUGCUGCCCUCAGCAGCCCAUGUGACCUCCGCCUGGAUUUACUAGAGUUCUAGAGUGCCAAGUUGGGAAGCCCCUUCACUGUUCCUUGUCACUUGAUCACCGUGACCAUUUCUUUCUUUCUUUCUUUCUUUUUGUCUUUUUGCCAUUUCUUGGGCCGCUCCUGCAGCAUAUGGAGGUUCCCAGGCUAGGGGUCGAACCGGAGCUGUAGCCACCGGCCUCCGCCAGAGCCACAGCAACACGGGAUCCAAGCCGUGUCUGCGACCUACACCACAGCUCACGGCAAUGCCGGAUCGUUAACCCACUGAGCAAGGGCAGGGAUCGAACCCACAACCUCAUGGUUCCUAGUUGGAUUCGUUAACCACUGCGCCACGACGGGAACUCCCGUGACCAUUUCUUAUUUGCAUAAGGAAGAGAUUGUACUGAAAUGAUGAAAUCAUAUCUAAUUCUUGUCACACUUGUCUUGUGAAGACAGAAUGGUUUAUGAAAUAGUUUCUAUGCACCUGCUUUAGCCCAGUGCUAUAGAGAGCUCGUAAUAAUUUGAAUUGUAGUGCUGAUGUUGUUUCCACCUGCAGGGGUUUCAAGCAAAAACCUUAUCUGCAUUCUCUGUAAUGAAGACUACCUGGAGAAACAGCUGAAAAAUGGUAAUUCCCUGCAAAUGAAAUUUAGGUAAUUGCAAAGAUGUAGGUCAGCAUGAGGAAAAGCCUAUAUAUGAAGACUGGUUGGUUUUAUACACGGAAACUAUCAAAUUGACUUCUCCCAUUUUCAGCCUACAGGAAAUUUAUGCAAUUUAUGAUGUGUGUCUGACACUGGAUCUUCUGGGGUAGAUUUCACUCAUUUUCAGGUUAGUCUGAAAAAAAAAAAAAAAAAAAAGAAGCCAGGAGCCAUAUGUCAAAAGCUGUGGGUAAGGAUCCUAGAAUCACAACAGAGCAGGGAAUAAUAAAUCAAGAUAUUGGUAUAGAGUAGGGGUUUGUCCUUAGCAGAUGUUAAGGAAUAUAAUACACUAUGGUGUUGAGGGGCCAAAGUUAAGCCAAGUUUCUAAUAUUAUUUAUCUUGUAGUUUUCUUAGAUGAUACUUUAUGUCCAAUGGUAUUGUUUAUGUACAAAUAUACAUAAAAAGAUCACAUAUUAUGACUUACCAAUUUAUCGUCAGAAGAUUCUCUUUAGUCUUGUUGAUUCUCUUCAUGAGGAACACAUUAUUGCAGAAAAACACUCAUUAUGACUUGGGUAAAAAAAAGAAAAUAAUAACUAAAAUGAAUAGAAGUCAUUAAAGUUAUAUAAGAGAAGAAUGCUACUUCCAACUUUUAUGGAUUUGAAGACUCAUGCUAUGUGAUUACAAACAAGGCUCUCACCACUCUGAGCCACAUUCUUUUAAAAAUGAGAGUAUUUUGAAAAUGAGCACAAGAGGGUGAUCAAAAACAAAUACUGACUCUUAAAGCCUCCACUUGGAGCUAUUAUGUAACUAGUACUCUUAUUCCAUAGUUUACAAGGCUCAUGGUCAAGCCCCAAAUCAAUGGGACAGAAGAAUGUAUUCUGCAGGGAAGGCAUGACAAGGGCAUGAAGGGAAUAAUUUUGAACAAAGAGCGUCUAUUAUACCACUCUUAUAAUCAUUUUUUAAAUGUUUGUGUAUAGCUUUCAUACUAUACAUAGCUUUCAUAUGCAUAUUUGGCCCGAAUUUUGAUGGACAAUUAGACAUGACCAGUGCUAUAACCGUUUUGACUUUUCAUUUGUAAAUAUAUAACCGCUCUACAAAGGGAUCUAUAAUCUCUAACCAAAAUAUUCAUAUAUUACCAACUGUCUUUUCUAAAUAUUAUAUAUUCAAAUCAGGUUUAGGGAUCUGGUUCUAUAAUUUUGGCAGUAAUAUUUUUUCCUUCCAAGUUUAACUUACAAACCUGAUUUAAAAGAACUUUUUUUUUUGCUUUUUAGGGCCUCUCAUGUGGCACAUGGAAGUUCCCAGGCUGGGGGUUGAAUUGGGCUGCAGCUGCCAGCCUACACCAUAGCCACAGCAAUGCAGGAGAGCCGCAUCUGUGACCUACGCCACAGCUCACGACAACGACUGGAUCCUUAGCUCACUGAGCGAGGCCAGGGAUCAAACCCACAUCCUCAUGGACACUAGUCAGGUUCUUUACCACUGAGCCGCAAUGGGAAUCCCCAAGACUGAAAUGAAAUUUGAAAUAUCCUAAAUGGGAGACUAGUUCAAGUUAAUACCUAACUUCUUCCUGCAUUCUUGUCCUUCCAUUGUAAUUCCUUUGACUAUUUAGAAAAAAAAAAUCACUAAUAUACCUAAUUAUUCCAUCAGCCCACCCAUGUAUUAUAGGACUUAGAGCAAGACAAGUGGCACCGAAAUUUAUUCUGAUUAACAAUGCCAUACUUGAAUAUAUUUCUGGCAUUCUAAUAAUGAGUCCACAUAAGAGACUAAUUUGAAAUAUUCCCUGAAUGUUUAAUGUGAAACAAAGCACUGUGGGAAAAAAUGCCCUCUUCAUAUAAAUACUGCAAAAGGAAGGGUAACCCUCUGGAAUGAAAUUAAUGAUUUAUUCACCAAUCCUCCCUUGAAAACACUUUUAAAAAUGUCAAUUGCUGUCAUAAUUUUUCUUAUUUGUAAAGGCUAUAUUAGAUGCCAAACAAGACCCAUAUGCUAUGAAGAUAGGCACUGAAAGCACUUCAAGGCGAAUGCCAGUGCAUCUUUUAAAAAGUCCUGUGGCAUGGCGGGUUAGGGAUCUGGCCUUGUCACUGCUCUGGUGAGAGUUCGAACCCUGGCCCAGGAACUUCCGUAUGAUGGUGCGGCCAAAAAAAAAAGUCCUAUGUGAAAAGUUUCUUAAAUGGAUAUUCACAUACAUCCCAGGGACCAGAGGAUGGGAGAAAUAGAUACACUGAUCAUCCCAUCCCAGCUGAGCUAUGAACUUAUCAUCCACAAUAUGCCUUUACAAAAUAUAAUCUCAAAUUGAUCUUCUCCUGUUAACUGGCUGUGUGACCUUGGGCCCGUCUCUAUGUCCCUGGAGCUCAGUUUCCUCAUCUUAGCUUUGCCAUCACAACACUUCUGACAUUGGACGAGCUGUAUAAAAUAUUCUUUCUGAACCUCAGUUUCCUUUCUGUACAAUAAAAGCAAUACUGCUGUCUCCAUUAGAAAGCUAUUGUGUGGAUUACAAUACAUGAGACUCUGGAACAUCCAUCCAGCUUACCUUAAAAGGUUGUGAGAGAAGUGUGGUGAAUUUAUAUGAAUGAAUGUGUGUGUAAUAAUAAAGAUAACUUUUCCUACCCCUCUCAUUCUUAUUUGAAUAAGAUAACCCUGGCUGUAGUCUGCCAUACAGUGCAGGCACUUAUGUUUCUUGCCCACUAGAUUCUGGCUACUUAAAGGGCUUAAACCAUUUUUUAAUUUAUCUCUUUGUUUCCAAUAAUGCCUACUGUUCUAAGAACUGUACAGCUGUUAAUUCAUACUCAUGUUGCAACAGAACAAAGGGUGGGGAAAAAAAUGUAAUUGUAAUGUACACAUGUAAGGAUAACUUGAUCCCCUUGCUGUACAGU
rnacentral:lncRNA from 1 species